CCUACGGGUGGCAGCAGUGGGGAAUAUUGGGCAAUGGGCGCAAGCCUGACCCAGCAACGCCGCGUGAAGGAAGAAGGCUCUCGGGUUGUUAAACUCCUUUUAGCGGGAAGAGAAGAAGACGGUACCUCUUGAAUAAGCCACGGCUAACUACGUGCCAGCAGCUGCGGCAAUACGGAGGUGGGAAGUGAUGUCCGGAUUUACUGGGUGUAAAGGGCGUGUAGGCGGGCUGAUAAGUCAGAUGUGAAAUCCCGUGGCUCAACCACGGAACUGCAUUUGAUACUGUCGGUCUUGAGUAUCGGAGAGGCAGGCGGAAUGCCUAGUGUAGCGGUGAAAUGCGUAGAUAUUAGGCAGAACACCGGUGGCGAAGGCGGCCUGCUGGACGACAACUGACGGUGAGGCACGAAAGCGUGGGGAGCAAACAGGAUUAGAUACCCGUGUAGUC
rnacentral:rRNA from 1 species